UACGUAGGUGGCAAGCGUUGUCCGGAUUUACUGGGCGUAAAGAGCGCGCAGGCGGUCGUUCAAGUCGCGUGUGAAAGCCCCCCGGCUCAACUGGGGAGGGUCACGCGAUACUGAUCGACUGGAAGGCAGGAGAGGGUAGUGGAAAUUCCCGGUGUAGUGGUGAAAUGCGUAGAUAUCGGGAGGAACACCAGUGGCGAAGGCGACUACCUGGCCUGUUCUUGACGCUGAGGCGCGAAAGCUAGGGGAGCAAACGGG
rnacentral:rRNA from 1 species